rnacentral:rRNA from 1 species
GACGUAGGGCGCAAGCGUUGUCCGGAUUUAUUGGGCGUAAAGGGUGCGUAGGCGGCGCGGUAAGUCGGGUGUGAAAUCUCGGAGCUUAACUCCGAAACUGCAUUCGAUACUGCCGUGCUUGAGGACUGGAGAGGAGACUGGAAUUUACGGUGUAGCGGUGAAAUGCGUAGAUAUCGUAAGGAAGACCAGUGGCGAAGGCGGGUCUCUGGACAGUUCCUGACGCUGAGGCACGAAGGCCAGGGGAGCAAACGGG